rnacentral:tRNA from 1 species
AGAAAAUUAGUUAAAAAAUAACAUUAAUUUGUCAAAUUAAAAUUACAGUAGUAUUUUCUA